GAGAACCUCUGCUUUCCUCAGGAGGGCAGGAGACUGAGAGAGUCAGUGGAGGAGACCAGUGGCCUCUGGGGCUGCCAGCCCCUCCCCCAUCUCCAGUGGCAGUUGCUUCCGUUGGAGUUUCCAGGGCUGCCUCUCAGGGCUCUAAGUGUGCUGCGACAGUUGGCCAGUUGAACGUCUACUUCUCCCAUGCAGCUCCUGGAUGCAGAACUCUCUGGAAGCCAGGACUUCUAAAACGGCUCAAUGCAGACCUUUUGUUCCACCUAGGCUGCUCUGCUCCCACUGAGCUCAGGGAACCCCAUCUGAAACUUGCUGGAUCCCUGGCUUCCUGGGGGCAGCCUGGGUAUCAGUGAAGGAAGGGCUGCAUAAGCUGUUCUGGGUGGGAUUUCAGGGGCCUGGGAAAGCUCCUGCCUUUGCUAAGUACUCUCUUCUUCUUCCAGAUGCCAUCCUAGCUCAGAUAAGUGAUGCCCCAGCAUUACAGUCCUUCCCGGGAUGGAGAACAGGCUUUUAUUGAACUACCAUUCCUUUGUGGGAAAGACACAGUCCAAGCAGCCAGCAUUCUGUGUCCUUCAGUGCAAGUUAUCAACACCCUCUUCAGACCAGCAGCUGGGACUCUCCAAGCAACAGUUCCCAGAAGCCAUGACAUGUCCCUGCAGCUGGAAGGCCUUCCAGGGAGAGCUGUUGAGGCCUCCUGGGCCCAGUGUUGCCCAUGGAGGAAGGAAGACAAAGAUUGACCUUCAAGUCAACAAAGGAGCCAAAAGACUUGAAAGCGAGGGAGCCAUCUGACUGCACACAAGUGCAUAGCCCACUGACUCAGGCUAAGGCUACAUUCUCUUCACUGUCGUGAUGGCUCUUCCUCUUGUGCUCUUGGAGGGCAAGACACUGUUUCUCAUGCAUUUCUGGAUCCCUGGUGCUUAGCUCAGAAUUUGGCACGUGUGCUCAGCCCAUGCCAUUUUGAAUAAAAGUAUUUCA